CCCCUUCGUGGCGCCUCCGGAGGUGCCGCUGGUGCCCGGCGCGACUCCCGCGACUCCGCCACUCAGAGCCCGGCCCGGCUCCUGGCGGGGGCUGCCAGAAGAGGCGCCCAGCGAUGGAGAGAGGCCCAGCAUCCGGUGGCUGGCCUGCCGCCCUCCUUCGCGCUGAAGCCGGCUGCUCUUGACUAAAGAUGGAAACACUGGAGUCGGAGCUGACCUGCCCAAUCUGCCUGGAGUUGUUUGAGGACCCCCUCCUCCUGCCCUGCGCCCACAGCCUCUGCUUCAGCUGUGCCCACCGCAUCCUGGCCUCCAGCUGUGCCUCUGGAGAGCCCCUGGAGCCCCUCCCCGCCUUCCAGUGCCCCACCUGCCGCUAUGUCAUCGCCCUCAACCAUCGGGGCCUGGAGGGCCUCAAGCGCAAUGUGACGCUGCAGAACAUCAUCGACCGCUUCCAGAAGGCCUCCCUGAGUGGGCCCAACUCCCCCGGCGAGAACUGCCGCGAGCGGCCCUACCGCCAGAGCCCCACCAUGUCCGGGGCGGACCGCAUUGCCUGCCAGUUCUGCGAGCAGGACCCCCCGCGGGACGCCGUCAAGACCUGCAUCACCUGCGAGGUGUCCUACUGCGACCGCUGCCUGCGGGCCACGCACCCCAACAAGAAGCCCUUCACCAGCCACCGCCUGGUGGAGCCCGUGCCGGACGCCCACUUCCGCGGCCUGACCUGCCUGGAGCACGAGAACGAGAAGGUGAACAUGUACUGUGUGGCUGAUGACCAGCUCAUCUGUGCCUUAUGCAAACUGGUGGGGCGGCACCGCGACCACCAGGUGGCCUCCCUGAGCGACCGCUUCGAGAAGCUCAAGCAAACCCUGGAGAUGAACCUCACGAACCUGGUUAAGCGCAACAGUGAGCUAGAGAACCAGAUGGCCAAACUGAUACAGAUCUGCCAGCAGGUGGAGGUGAACACAGCCAUGCACGAGGCGAAGCUGAUGGAGGAAUGCGACGAGUUGAUGGAGAUCAUCCGUCAGCGCAAGCAAGUGAUUGCUGUCAAGAUCAAGGAGACAAAGGUGAUGAAGCUGAGGAAGCUGGCCCAGCAGGUCGCCAACUGCCGACAGUGCCUGGAGCGCUCCACCGUCCUCAUUAACCAAGCGGAGCACAUCCUGAAGGAGAACGACCAUGCAAGGUUCCUGCAGACGGCAAAGAAUGUGGCGGAGAGGGUCGCCAUGGCAACCGCAUCCUCCCAAGUUUUGAUACCCGAUAUCAAUUUUAACGAUGCCUUUGAAAACUUUGCGUUAGAUUUUUCCAGAGAGAAGAAACUGCUGGAAGGACUGGAUUAUCUCACAGCCCCCAACCCGCCCUCGGUCCGCGAAGAGCUGUGCACCGCCUCCCACGACACCAUCACUGUCCACUGGAUCUCGGACGAUGAGUUCAGCAUCGGGUCCUACGAGCUCCAGUACACCAUCUUCACCGGCCAGGCCAACUUCAUCAGCCUGUACAACUCCAUGGACAGCUGGAUGAUUGUCCCCAACAUCAAGCAGAACCACUAUACAGUCCACGGGCUGCAGAGCGGCACACGCUACAUAUUCCUCGUCAAGGCGAUCAACCAGGCCGGCAGCCGGAACAGUGAACCCGCCAGGCUGAAGACAAACAGCCAGCCAUUCAAGCUGGACCCCAAAGUGGCUCACAAGAAGCUGAAGAUCUCCAAUGACGGCCUGCAGAUGGAGAAGGACGAGAGUUCCUUGAAGAAGAGCCACACACCCGAGCGGUUCAGCGGGACGGGCUGCUACGGGGCGGCAGGCAACGUCUUCAUCGACAGCGGCUGCCACUACUGGGAGGUGACGGUCGGCUCCUCCACUUGGUAUGCGAUCGGCAUUGCCUACAAAUCGGCCCCCAAGAAUGAGUGGAUUGGCAAGAACUCUUCUUCCUGGGUCUUUUCCCGCUGUAACAACAACUUUGUGGUGCGGCACAACAACAAGGAGAUGCCGGUGGAUGUUCACCCCCAGAUGAAGCGCCUGGGAGUCCUGCUGGAUUACGACAACAACGUCCUGUCCUUCUACGACCCGGCCAACUCCCUCCACCUCCACACCUUCGAGGUGUCCUUCAUCCUUCCUGUCUGCCCCACUUUCACCAUCUGGAACAAAUCCUUAAUGGUCAUCUCGGGCCUCCCUGCCCCUGACUUCAUAGACUACCCUGAGCAGCAACAGGAGCACCAUUGCAGGCCUCAAGAGUCUCCCUACGUGUCUGGGAUGAAAACUUGCCAUUGAGGAGCCUGUUGCAGCCCCCCCUCCCCUCCCCUCCCCUCCCCUCCCCUCCCCUCCCUCCCACAUACGCCUCCGGACCUUCUGCGCAGCCAGGCUGGAAGGUGGGCCUGCAUCUGGAAGGGCCGGCAAGAAGGUGUCACGUCUGGCUAGCUUGUAUUCUUUGCGGUUCACCCUGGUGGGGUCUUGGGGACUGGGUGGGUUUUUUUGUUUUGUUGAGUAGCACUACUGAAUUUUCUCCAGUGGAGUGGGCAUGCCUUGUUUCAGUUUCCUGCUGAGGAAAGGGUGUUGUGGAGGCAGGGGCGGGGGGUGGGUCCUUCUCAGCUCCACCAUGUUCAACAUGUGCGAACUGCUUUCUGUGCGAAGAGGUCAUUCCCUGGCCGCCAUUUUGAGAGAGCCCUGCGGCAGAGGUCCUUCUCACGCUGGGGUGCCCAGGGGUCGGAUUAGAACUCCCAUCACCCCAUGCCAUGCAGCUGUGGAUGGUGGGAGUUGCAUUCCAGCCCAUGUGGGAGAUCCCCUGGCAUAGAGAAUGGGGGCCCGGGCCGGGAGCCUUUCACAUCUUAUAAUCGCAUGUGGCAAUGGCAUACCGGGGCGGGGGGGGGGGGGCACGCGUUUUUCUCAUGCUGUGAACAGGCUGUCCCUGGGCCCUGAGAGGCCUUGGCCAGCUGCAGGCACAUCCACAGGCCAUGGAAGCCCGCGGUGGCUCUGACUGCCCAUCAGUGGCCAUUUGCAUGGUACAGCCUGCAGGGAAGUGCCUUCCCCCCGGGGAUUCUGCCCACACAGGGAGCAGCCACGAGCAAAGCAAGCCGCACUUGGUGCAGAAGUGAGUGAAGCCCACUUGGCUGCCGGAGGCAAGCAGUCGACGGCGGGGGUGUUGCUGGCGGGCCGCUUGCUUCCUGGGCCACAAAGACUAUCCCAUGUGGUGGUGGUGGUGGUGGUGGUGUCCAGACGCUCUCUGUACCGCUUUUCAGCCACAGAAGUUCUCAGAGCGGAAGGGCGCUCCUUGUCCCCAAAGGGCCCAGGAACGCAAGCCAGGCAGCUGCCACUGGGAGGGGAUGGGCCAGCUGCUCUUCCCUUCUGGAAUCUGAGGAAGGUCACCUCAGGCAGUGCCUCUUUUUCCACUUCUACGGGGGCUUUACUGGGGGGACGUGGGACCCGAGAACAGGACACCUAUUCGGGGAAAGACGGGGCCACAGUUUAGAGUGCCCCCUAGACCAGCCAGCGUGCCAUGGGGCACUGGCUGCUGCCUGGUGCAUUACGCUGACUCCUUUGCUGUGUCCACACCCUCCCCUAGCGCCCCUCCCGCAAACACUCCCCUCCCGUUGCCCAAGAGGGCGUCCUGGCUCUCAAAGUCGGACAUGGAAACUGCCCCCCCACACACACCCCCCUUUUGGAGCUGACUCGGAAUCAAUAAUUGUGGAGCGGUGACACUGACUCGGCCCCUCAUGCCCUGGGAAGGAAGCAUCCCUCCCAGUGCCCCAGUGGGCUCGGCUUGCAAUGCUGUCUGUAGACAAACCAAAUAAAAACCACACUCUAGCUUUGCCACUUCAAAAAUAAAAUCUCUGUUGGAAGGCCAGUGCACCCCAAUCUGUUCCAAGAAAAUUUAAAAACUCUAUUAAAAAUUAUUUAGGUGUGUCAUCAGAUUUAAGAAGCCAGGAAACACUGCUCUCGACCAAGUGUGUGCUGCUGAACCCAACCCGUCCCAGUUCUCACCAUUGGCCUGGGCCUGGUCUCUGAGCUCGAAAGGCAGUUGGGGGGGAGGCGGGCACUCUGCAGAGGAACUCCGGGUGGGGGUCCGCCGAGACCCCGCCGGGAGUUUGCUCGCUGCUUCGGUCGAGGCGUUUGGGUGCAUCUUUUGGCGCUGGUCUGACAAGGGCGUCGUGGACGAGUCGGGGAAACUUCUAGGGGAUUUGUGUGUGUGUCUCAUUCUAGCACAGCAUGGCAGAGCAUCUCAUGGUGUCUGAGGGCAGAAUGUCAGGCAGGGGUUCGGUGGCAUGAGCAGGUGCAGAGGGCCAGGGAAGGGAAGGGAAGGGAAGGGAAGCUUCUCUACCUGGUGCCAGUACGGGGAUGAUGCCAGCACCAGGACCGGUGUGUGGCUAGGCUGCGUCACAGUGGCCCUGGGAGUUGGUCAUGGGUUCCUGUGCUAUCUCAAGGCAAUCUAGAUGCCAGUGUCUGGUAUUUACAGGCUACUAGCAGGAUUCUGCAGGUAUUUCUCUGCAGUAAUGGCUUCGUUUCUGUGCUAGCUUUUCAGUCAUCUUCAGAAUGUGUGAGGUCGUGGUUGUUCUCCGUGUUGUUCUGGAGGUGUGUGAUUCGAAUGGGUCUCUGCUUUCAAUCCAAGGAGGCUUGUUGCUUUAGAGAAUUAAAUCUGAGAGUGUGACCCAGAAAGACAAAAAUAAAGAGUUUUGGAUGGAGAAGUCCAGGAUUUUGAUGACGCUAAAGUAUUGCAGCCCUUUCCUUUCCUGUGACUUGCGGCUGCUGCAAAAUGUUGAUGGCCAGGCCGGAUUUGUGAGGAUUUCAGCUUCCAUUUAAGUAGCCAAAGCUGAUGGUUACUUCAUGGUUAGCACCCGGAUGGUUGGGAACAGAGCUGAAAAUGUGGAGAAGCAAGUCUGCAGAAAUGGUGGCAAGUGGCUUACUUUGCCCCAUGACCUCCACUUCUACUCCACAGCCUUUCAAAACAAUUUUGGCACUUUGCAUGGACCUCACUCCCAAUUCUGCAAAAACUCCUGUGCUCAGGCUGAGCUAUUAAAGCGAGAAAGAUUCUGCAAAAUAGAAUUGUGAUGUAUUUGCAUAAUUUGCUCUGGCUUAAAGAGGAGGCUUUUUGAUGCAGAAUUUGUGCCUGGGGGUGUGGGAGAGCUGAGCAUUGAAUACGAAGAGCGUCCUUUGUGCUGGGGUGUCCCUCAAGGAGAGGGGGUGCUAGGGUCCUUCCUGCCCCACUCCCAGAAAUUCUGCGUUCUUGAAGGGAACUUAGCCUGUUCCCUUCACGUGGUGUUGCUGCUGCCAGAGGUCCUUAAUGCCAUAAACAGCAUCCUCGCCUUCUGUCCUUUUCUUCUUGGGUUUGACCACAUGGGCCCCCAGAAUCCUCCUCAGUGUGACAGAGAGGGCAGUUGGCUUUCUUCUUUUCUUCUUCUACUGUGCAGAUGAGACAACUACCUCAUGGCACAUUUCCAGACCUAAAGGAAGGCAGGGUCACUUCAGGGAACCUGCAUAGUCCAUGGGGCCAGGUCAGGGUCCUCAGACUUCAGUCCCCAGAAGUGGUCGGAUUGCAGCUCCCGUAAUCCCCAGCCACCGGAAGAUGCUGUGAGUGUCCGAAGGGGACACUCCCCUGUAAGUUUUUCUUUCCGUGGCUAAACACAGUUUUGCAGGGGAGCGAUGCGUCUGGGUGAGCACAGGAUGUGGCUGGACGCCCCCCCCCCCGGGUGCUCUGCAGCCUCCUGCCAACUCUGGACCUUCCACCACUGUGUUCUGAAAAAGAAGAGGAUGCCGGGCGGGGGUGGGUGGGGUCCCAGUUCCAGAUGUCCAUGCGGGAUGUCCUGUUGGCCCCGUUGAGUUCCAUGCCUGCCCAUGUGCUCGAAAGGGGCAGGCGGAGGUGGGUGAAGGGGGCCCCUUGCAUGGAUUUGGUGGCCAGAGCAAGAGAAGCCACAGUCUGUCUGGCCCAACAGCCGGAUAUCCUCAGUGGCCCCAGUUUGGCCGGUGGCUUUUCUGUUUCUCCAAAGGGGCCUGACUAAGCCCUCCCUGCUUUGGCCCUGAGGGGCUCCCAGUGACUGCUGCUGCUCCUUGACCAGCUCCCGUGUAUCUUCACAUGCGGUGCCCAGGUGUCCGCAGGGUGGCCAAGCAGGAACUAGCUAGGGCUCGCCACCCAUGCCCCUAUGCAUUUGGAGCCUGUGCCGCCCCACUUGCUUCAAGGCCAUGCACUUAGAGGUCAGCAUUCCCGGAGCCAGAUCUGGCCCCUCAGAUCUGGCCCCUCAUAACCCCAGAGUACCCAGAGCAGGAAGCCUCAGCUCACCUCACCCCCCCCUUCACUGUGCCCCUCUGGCUGAGAUGGUGAACCUGGGGCGGGGGGUGUAUCAGCUCCGCUGGGGCUGCACCACUCCAGAUUGGAUGUUUCUCAAUGCAAACAAAUGAUCCGCAUCUUUUAAACAGAAAAACCCAAGAACCUCCGUGUCGGGGAGGAGCACCCUUGCCAGGCUAGUUUCUAGGUGGAGGGAUUUCUAAUUUCUAAUUUAAUUUUUUGCAUGGAAGACCAGUUGGGCCGGUGAGCCCCCACUUGCAACCGGAAGUGCUUCUGCGGGUACAGAAUGAUAGCCUCCCUGGGGACUAGGAGUUCUCAGCACAAUCAAGCCAGCUCAUCAACAGUGCUAUGCCAAAUCACUAACGUGCCCUUUUCAAAGCAACCCUGUAUUUCCUAAAUGUCUGGAUAGCCAGGCUCUGGAAGGUCUCCUGGGGAGGAAGCGCCACAGAACCAGGGCGCCUUGGAGCGGGAGGCUGCUCCUGCUGCGUUCCACAAUCCAGAGCUGCCCGGGAUGCCAUGCAGAGCGUCUUCCGAGGCUCGUAAGGAAUCGGGCCUCCUAGAAGAAGAGGCCACAGGGCCGCUGCAGGUGCCAACACUGCUCUCGGAUUUAGAGCCACCCGGAGGUGGUGUCCUGAGAUCCCCCCCCCCGUGUGACCUGUCAGCUCAGCCCCGCCUGCCUUCCCUCCGGCGCCCCAGAGCUCCGAUUCCAAACGGCCGGCGCUUGCUUUGGGCCCCGCUUCCCAGGCUGCCCACCCCCAGCGCUGUCCUGUCACUUCACGCAGCCCCUCCAGCUGCUGUAGCCCCCCAUUCUCUUGGGGGCUUCCCGUUGCGACAGAGGAGAAGGAAAGCAGCAGCGGGAGCGAAGAGCCCAGUGGCGGCCCUGGGCUGGUUUCAGCCCACGUGGAAGCCCGCAAGUUCGGCAGCUGUCUGGGCCGCUGCAGUGAAGGAUGCUUUUUCAUCCACUCCGAAUCGCCUUUGCUAAGAGCACCGGGGUGAGAAUGGCUCCUCACGGGGGCAGUGGACCAAAAGGAGCGGAGGAGGCACUUUCCCCGCAGUGCUCCUUUCACUCUCUUGAUGUUUCUCGCAGGCUGGAUGUUCUAAUGAAAGCUGGGCACAACAUUGCAGCUGCCGACAAAUUAAGUCUCCCUUGUCGUGGGCUGGGAAGUGUGUGUGUGUGUACAUGUGUGCCCAAGCAUCUCCAGGGGAGAAAGAUCUGCAGGGAAGGACAGACUUGGACCUUGGAGCAGGAGGUCCCAACCUUCGGCCCCCAGAUGUAGUUGUUGGACUACAGCUCCCAUCCCCCCUAACCCCAAUAGCCCCCCCACCUCCCCCCUCAUUGAGCAGCAUAUUCCUCCUUGGCAAACACAUUCGGCUUCAUUGUGGCCCUUUUACAGCCAGAGCACACGUUCCCCUGCCGUUUUCUCCAUACACAAAACCUUCUGGCCCUUAAAGUCUUGGGAGGUUUUUCAUGGGCUAGAAUCCAUGCCAUCAGUUGCACAAAGUAUUAACCUGCUAGCAGGGGUGUGUGUGUGUGUGCACACACACACACACACAGAGGAAUAGAGCAAGACUGCACAGCUUCGGCCCUCCUGCAGAUGUUGGGCUGCAACUCCCAUCAUCCCAGACUUUUGGCCACUGUGGCUGAGGAUGAUAGGCAUGGUAAUCAUGCAGAAUUUUAGCCAGAUGAUGGUGGUGUGGCCCCCAUGAUCUCACCUUCCACCGAUGACCCAUCUGAGACGACCACCUUCAUUUGCCUCAUGGACAGGCCAGCCAUGAAAUGCAAGAGCUACAGUUUGUCACCAUGCUAUCUAAAGCUUUCGCAUAUGCAUGAUAAGUAAUUACCAUUCAUUUCAGUGGUAAUUGGUGAGAACUGAAUGGUCCUGUAUUGGCUGUCUUAACGAACAUCUGGAGAGGGACAGGAAACCAUUGUUCUGAUUCAGGCCUAAACAAAUAGAAUCAAAUCUCUGGGCAAGUUCUUCAAAAUUCAGCAAGUUCAGACUUUUGUGUGUGUUUGUUCUUUUGCAGAGAGACUGAUCUGUUUGUCAUAUGAACACAGCAGAAGGGAUUGCUGGCAGGUAAAAGCAUCUAUCACGUUGGAAGUUGACCAGACCUGAACAGUUGCCAGUGGGCUACGUGGUAUGGUUAAAUUUCUUGGCACAAACAUUCCUGCUUGGUUGGCAAAGGAGAAACUGAAGAUCAAACUCCCCUAGCUCUGAAGUUGGACUCCUUGCUCUUUUCUGCCUCUUUGAAGGACAUGAGAAGAACCCUGAUGGACUAGAUCAAAGGCCCAUCGACACUGACACACACUGACACUGUGGCUAGUAACACCUGUUACUCACUCUGUUACUAACUCUGGGGAGUCCGCAGUGGCUAAUCAGCUGCUUCUGGGAAGCAGGACUUCAAAGCACUUUCACGCUCGGCCCCCAAAUCAGCCCCCUGGAGUUCCUCAGAAGGGUAGACUUGGGUCUGUGGCCCUCUCUCCUCUCUGACGGUCUCCCUCUCCGCCUUAGUCUGGCCACUUUGGAACUUGCAGAGAGCAUCAGUGCAUCAGGCACGCCUUGCUGGAUGUGGCUCAGGGCCCAUCUAGGCCAGCAUCUUGUUUCCGUCCGCUGGCAGGGAGGGAGUUAGGGUGCCCGUGCACUCUUGGGGAAGUGACUGCUCAGAUGCAGCCCAAGUCUGGUUGAAGAUAAGUUUGUAAAACAUUUAUAAGGUAGAAACCAAAUGGUGCAAGCCAACACUGUAAAAUUAAACAUUUCUGACUUUA